AUCCAAUUGAACCGCAGGCUUCAUCCCUUGUGGUGCUCCCCCGCCAAUUCCUUUAAGUUUCAUACUUGCGUACGUACUUCCCAGGCGGCAGACUUAACGGCUUCCCUGCGGCACUGCAUUGGCCACAAGCCAAUGCAUCACCGAGUCUGCAUCGUUUACAGCUGGGACUACCCGGGUAUCUAAUCCGGUUUGCUCCCCCAGCUUUCAUCCCUCACCGUCGAACGUGUUCUGGUACACCGCCUUCGCCACAGGUGGUCUUCAAUAGAUCAAAGGAUUUUACCCCUUCCUAUCGAGUACCGUGUACCUCUCCCACUCCCUAGCUGCACAGUAUUUUCGGCGGCCUAUACGUUAAGCGCAUAGAUUUAACCGAAAACUUAUGCAAACGGCGACAGAGGAGCGCUAAAGGGCCCAAUAAACCUCCUGACCACUCGAGGUGCUGGUUUUACCGCGGCGGGUGACAACAGAACUUGUGCCACCCCUUAUUCCACAGUUGAUUCCUUACAAUUGACGAAAGACUCCUUUAGCA
rnacentral:rRNA from 1 species